GACCAGACUCCUACGGGAGGCAGCAGUGGGGAAUAUUGCACAAUGGGGGAAACCCUGAUGCAGCGACGCCGCGUGAGCGAUGAAGUAUUUCGGUAUGUAAAGCUCUAUCAGCAGGGAAGAAAAUGACGGUACCUGACUAAGAAGCCCCGGCUAACUACGUGCCAGCAGCCGCGGUAAUACGUAGGGGGCAAGCGUUAUCCGGAUUUACUGGGUGUAAAGGGAGCGUAGACGGCUGUGCAAGCCAGAUGUGAAAGCCCGGGGCUCAACCCCGGGACUGCAUUUGGAACUGUGUGGCUGGAGUGUCGGAGAGGCAGGCGGAAUUCCUAGUGUAGUGGUGAAAUGCGUAGAUAUUAGGAGGAACACCAGUGGCGAAGGCGGCCUGCUGGACGAUGACUGACGUUGAGGCUCGAAAGCGUGGGGAGCAAACAGGAUUAGAUACCCUAGUAGG
rnacentral:rRNA from 1 species